UGCCAGCUUUCAAAUAUUGGUGGGUAGGCUUU
rnacentral:piRNA from 1 species